UAAAGUAGGACUUUGGUUCUAUUUUGUUGGUUUGUGAACCUUAGUAAUGGUUAAUAGGAACGGUUGGGCGCAUUCGUAUUUAACUGUCAGAGGUGAAAUUCUUAGAUUUGUUAAAGACGAACUACUGCGAAAGCAUUUGCCAAGGACGUUUUCAUUAAUCAAGAACGAAAGUUAGGGGAUCGAAGACGAUCAGAUACCGUCGUAGUCCUAACCAUAAACCAUGCCGACUAGGGAUUGGAGGUCGUCAUUAUUCGACUCCUUCAGCACCUUGAGAGAAAUCAAAGUCUUUGGGUUCUGGGGCAGGUAUGGUCGCAAGGCUGAAACUUAAAGGAAUUGACGGAUUGGCACCACCAGGCGUGGAGCCUGCGGCUUAAUUUGACUCAACACGGGGAAACUCACCAGGUCCAGACAGCGUUAGGAUUGACAGAUUGAUAGCUCUUUCUUGAAA
rnacentral:rRNA from 1 species